rnacentral:tRNA from 1 species
GCCCAGGUGGCGGAAUUGGUAGACGCGCACGGUUCAGGUCCGUGUGCCGCAAGGCGUGGAGGUUCGAUUCCUCUUCUGGGCA